UUAUAAUCCAAUCACUAAUGAUGAGGUGAGAUUUACAUCAACCAAUAUGAUAACUCAAACCUAUGGCUAAUGUUUUUGAAAAGUUUUAACAAGUGGACAUUGAAACCACAAAAACAACUUGAAGUGAGUUGUAUUUACAAGUUAGAGUUAUUUACAAAAUGAGGUCAAAGUUGGAUUAACGUCUAUUUACAAUGAGUAUUUAUGAAAAAUAGUUUUGAAAAGUCAAAGGCUUAAGGCCUAGGUUUCUAAUUUAAAACAAAGUCAAAGUUUUGAAAAUGAUUUUUGGCUUGGUUAGAGUGGGGAGAAGAAGAGAAGGGUUAGUCCUAAAGCAUACAAAGAUAAGAGAAGGAAAGAUAAACCCUUGGAGUUCCUUUUCUUGGAAUCAUAGAGAUGAUUCAAGAUGCUCCUUUCCUUUGGACUUAGCACACAAACAAGCAAUCAAACAA
rnacentral:lncRNA from 1 species